UACGUAGGGUGCAAGCGUUGUCCGGAAUUAUUGGGCGUAAAGCGCACGUAGGCGGCUUAGCAAGUCGGAAGUGAAAUCCCACGGCUCAACCAUGGAAGUGCUUUCGAAACUGCUGAGCUUGAGUACUUAAGAGGAUCGCGGAAUUCCCGGUGUAGAGGUGAAAUUCGUAGAUAUCGGGAGGAACACCAGUGGCGAAGGCGGCGAUCUGGGAAGAUACUGACGCUGAGGUGCGAAAGCGUGGGGAGCAAACAGG
rnacentral:rRNA from 1 species